rnacentral:piRNA from 1 species
UAAUGAUGUCAUGAGCAUCCUACUGCCCCAUG